AACAUCGUUCUUAGGUUUACCUUUACUACCCUAAUUUGAGAGUGGACUAAUCAAUUUAUCGUCUUUUGGACUAAACUACUUCAAAAUAAGGGUAAUAAAGGUAAACCUUAUAAGCUAAUAACGACUUUACGCUUCAGCUAGCAAGGUUGCUAACAAAAGAUUUUGUUUGAACCUGUACAUACUCAAGUCCGAUUGCUGUAAUGUCUGUAUUAUAAGCUAGUUUAAAAAAUGAGGGAAAUUUGAUGUCACACGCCAAGCUGACAAACUAUGGCACUUUAUAAUGUGAUUAAAUCUUUUGAUCUGUUCUUGUAUUUUACAGGUCAGCUUAGAGAUCCCUUGCAAUUACUCUAGUCUAUUAGACCUUCCUGAAGAAUUAGUGAUAAUGGUACUUAGUUAUAUUCCUGUGUCGGAGUUACUUUAUACAGUCUGUAAAAUAUGCAGAGGUCUAAAGGAUGUUGUGCGAAAAAUGCAAAGCUUGUGGACUAUUGUAGAAUUUGACGAUUCCUAUACUAUAGACAUUGCAAUGAUGGAAAUGAUCGUGAAAAAUAAUCAGCUUGUAUGUCUCAAUCUAAAACAUAUUAUAAAAUGGCUGACACUGUAAAUCCUUUGCGUUACCCAGGUGACACUGCUUCAACGGAUGAGUUAGUUGCUUAUUAUUUUACUUCUUCAUAUACGGCUAAAGAAAUAGCUGGAUUUUUACUUUUCGUUCAUAAUAAAUUUGUUAGUGUUAAGACAGUCUACAGAAUGAUGAAAAGACUUCGACUGAGAAGAUAUGGUGCAGAGAGUCCAUUGAUUAAUAUCGUUCAAAAGAUAAUUCAACUGCACAAACAAGGAUACUCUAAUAUUGGAUAUAGAGCAAUGUGGAAAAUACUUAAUUCUUGCUGUGGCAUCAAUGCUACUCAGGAAACGGUGAGAAUUGCACUGAAAGCUAUACAUUAUGAUGGUGUAGUUGCAAGAUCUCGACGUCGACUUGU